rnacentral:hammerhead_ribozyme from 1 species
AGCUGGCGGACGAGUCCCAAAUAGGACGAAAUUCGCAUCCUGGCU